rnacentral:rRNA from 1 species
GAAGGCGGGUCUCUGGGCAGUAACUGACGCUGAGGAACGAAAGCGUGGGUAGCGAACAGGAUUAGAUACCCUGGUAGUCCACGCCGUAUACGGUGGGCGCUAGGUGUGGGUUCCUUCCACGGAAUCUGUGCCGUAGCUAACGCAUUAAGCGCCCCGCCUGGGGAGUACGGCCGCAAGGCUAAAACUCAAAGGAAUUGACGGGGGCCCGCACAAGCGGCGGAGCAUGUGGAUUAAUUCGAUGCAACGCG